rnacentral:lncRNA from 1 species
CCUACCCCCUUGUCCUUGUCUCAAUAUAUGUUUUCCUCAUCCAAGUGCACUACUGCUUGGCUACUUAACAGCCCUGAAACAUCUCCCUGAGGUUGAUUAUAUUUGUGGUUUGGUACAGUAAGAACCAAACCCUUGUCUUACAACCAUGUCUGAUUACUUUUCCAACAUGUUGUCUGUACACUUUACUUAUUUGCUCUCUUACCUCCCUCCCCCUGUCUCAAUGAAUAUUUACUUUUUCCUUGUGUGCCACUACCAUGCAUCCAUAUCUUCUUGGUUACUUGGUUAACUUAAAACCCAUGUUUUAGGCUAAGUGUGUUAGAGCUGAACUCUUGUUUGCAACUAUGUCUGGUUACUUUCAGUAUGUUGCCUGUGUAAGUAGUUUACUUGUUUAUUUGUCCCUUUUCCCUUCGC